ensembl:lncRNA
GGUGUCCCCGUUCAUUGCAGGGACUCAGACCAGAUGGCUUUUGAAGCUUUCACUUUUAGCCCACCACAGUCCCACAGCCACGUGCACGGAGCUCUAUUACUUCAAGAAAUGAACAAAUUAUAUAUUUCGGUGCCAGAACCGCUGUCUUGAAAUCAACGACACGCGGCUGCACUACUACUGGGAUAGGGAUGACAUCGGCAUUGUUAUCCGGGGCAGCAUCAAUCUCCGCGACGCCACUGCGCGGAUUGUCAACCCGAAGACACUGCAUCCAACCACAGCCUGACGCACAGCCUCAGGUCAGACAGCGAGAAGGACCUGAGUCUCUUUCUCCACUUCGGGACAUGAAUGUCUGCAUCCCUGACCAACAGAGGUGCAUCCUGAGCUCUGCAGUGCAGUGCUUUUCUUCCUGAGCAAACCACCAUUUCACUGUGUUGCAUUUUUGUUCAUCUCAUUGGGUUGCGGCGAUUCCUGAAGAAAGGAAUUGCAGCUGAAUUGCAGCUGAAGAUGCAGCUCAAUUGCAGCUGAAGAAAUACCAAACCACGUGAACCUGCUGUUGUACCCUUGAAGGAAAUCCUCACCCAUGACGUGCUGUUUAUUUGCAACACAGCAAUGAAAGGGCACGGGGUGUGCUGGAAAAGUUGGGAUCUCAGCUGCUGAAAAAUGUCCUCACCUCUGAAAAUAUCACCUUAUUUGCAAUUGACGGCACCAACACUGCCUGUGGGGGAGCUGUAGGAAUUACUGGGAAGUAGAUAUGAGUAUUGCCUUUCAGUCACACACUGCAAAAAAAAAUGGUGCAAAAUAAUAAUAAAAGAGAAGCUGCCAUCUGGUUUUGAUCGCUCUGUGAUGUCAUUCUUUAUUACUAUUUCUGGGGGGCGUUUCUGUGCGUCCCCCCGUGAGUCCCUUCCGACCCACAGCAUCCUAUGGCGCUGUGACUGAGGCCAUCGUGUCAUCUGAAUUUCUUUGCUUUCCAAGCUUUUCAGGCAUCCGGGAUUUAAUUUCACAGAUUUACGUUCGUAUUUCGAGAUUUAACAUUUUAAAAUGUCAGCAGACUGAUUUCUAGACCCUGUCUUUGAGAGGCUAUAAAACAGAUCCUCCUCGUUAGACGCUCUUGCUUUCUGUGCCCCGAGGUGCUCGCUCAUCAUUCUGCUGUUCAUAGAAUCACAGAGUCACCAAAGUUGGAGAAGACCACCGAGUUCAUCCAGUCCAACUGUCCACCAUCCAGUCCAAACCGUCCUUUUCAUGGAGGACGAUGGAGUCCCACUUUGCAGGGAAUUUCUUACAUGGGUUCUUAUCCCACCGGGAUGGCGCUCCGUGGGAGCAUCCCUGGCGGAGCAGAGCUGACCUCACCAGCACAGUUCUGUGAAUGAGCUGAUAAAUAACAUUGCCUUGAACUGUGAGUGAACUGUCAGUAGGAAACGUUGAAAGGAAUGGGACGACGUCCGUCCUCACUAUUGGCAGUGCUGUGGAAAUGUAGAUCCAAAGGAAAACCGUGUGCUGUACAGGGGAUUUUUACCCCUCCAAGAGAGAGCGCUUCUCCUCCAUGUGACUGCUGUGUGUUUCCACGGGAUUCUGAAAGAACAGUGAUUUCUGGAGCAAAUGUUUUACUUUGACACUCUCCUUACCCAACAAGAAACACCACCAUCAAAGAGCUCAUGACUUACUGACACGUCCCAGCCACGGGCUCAGCCUUUUCUGCAGCACUUGUGUGCAAGCUGAGAUGGAGGGGGUCCUGGUGUACAACACCUGUGGGGGCUGCUGACAAAACUGUCCCUCCAUGGUCUUUGCAGGUGGACAACGUGGACAAGAAUGUUGAUCAUGAAGCAAUGACACAGAUGGCAAAAGCAGUGCUCCAAGAGAAGUAUCGGGACCCCGAUGGGUCCACGUGUCCAUCCGCCCCACACUUGGCUCCAGCACUGCAGCUGGGCAUUAAUCAGCAGCCACAGAGGGAGUGCUCAGGGAAAACCACACAUCCCUUCCUCUUAAUUGUGCUCAAGCCCACUGAAAUGAGUGGAGGGAACGCAACACUCCAUUAUUCCCAGCAAUCAAAUUAAAUGGAUGCUUGUCAUUAAAGAGUCACCAUGAGCCUUCAGUUGCCUCACUGGCAGCUCUGAUUGUGGCUGUGUUAUCACCGUGGGGGGGUGGUGAGUGGAUUCCUGCACGUGCUUUAUC